rnacentral:misc_RNA from 1 species
GAUGAAGAACGUAGCGAAAUGCGAUACGUAAUGUGAAUUGCAGAAUUCAGUGAAUCAUCGAAUCUUUGAACGCAUAUUGCGCUCUUUGGUAUUCCGAAGAGCAUGCUUGUUUGAGUAUCAGUAAACACCUCAACCUCUUCUUGAUUUUUCAAAAGGAGGGUGGACUUGAGCUAUCCCAACAACCUUUACCGGUCGGCGGGCGGCUUGAAAUGCAGGUGCAGCUGGACUUUUAUCUGAGCUAAAAGCAUAUCUAUUUAGUCCUCGUCAAACAGGAUUUUUACUUUUGCUGCAGCUAACAUAAAGGAUAAUUGUCCUCUUUGCUGACUGAUGCAGGAUUUUACGACACUUUAUGUGUUGUUCAACUCGAUCUCAAAUCAAGUAAGACUACCCGCUGAACUUAAGCAUAUCAAUAAGCGGAGGA